AAAGCAAAUUAGGCGCAAAGGGGAGCAGACCUUCAUACAGCGCAAAGAGAAGGGGCCUGCUGCAUAAAUAUUCCAUCUUUGGCGCAUCUGGAUGGAGUCGGGUCUCCAAUUGGGCGAAUGCGCGGACCCUUCCCCCCCUUUUGUUUUACACGGCGCCGUUUCAAACAGAUGAAGGCAUUUAAACCAUUUUUUUUCUCUGCAUCAUCCCCAAAACACAGCCCCCUUUUGCAACCGAAAAUUACAGCCUGGGAACUAAUUUUUUAGGGUUUCUUUUUAGCAUUCGAAUCACCAUUGUUUUGGUGACCAUCUGCAUGUAAAGAGCACCCAGUCUCCUCGUUGAAGGUAGUUGAGCAAGUUUUAAAAAUGAUUUAGUACGGGGCGACGUGGAGGCGUACGGGGCUGUGCUGGCGCGGGUACGAAGGUAGCUGAGGUUCGGCUGCGGCGUGAGGAGAGAACCCUAGGGUUCCUGUUCUUGAAAUGCUUCGGGCCUAUUGGGCCUUGUAAGUUUGGGUUAGGUUUAAUUAUUGGUUUUAGGCUGAUGGGGUUGUGUAAUUGGGCUUGGGAUAUUUUGGGCUGUUUGGGUUAGUUGGGUUAAGUUUAGGUUUGGGCUUUGGUAUUGGACUUCAAUGUUUGUAAAAGGGACAUUGGAUUUAUUAUAUAUUUUUGUAUUUUGGUAGGCCCGGGCUAAAA